AUUGAACGCUGGCGGCAGGCUUAACACAUGCAAGUCGAACGAGUGGCGGACGGGUGAGUAAUGCUUGGGAAUCUAGCUUAUGGAGGGGGAUAACUCCGGGAAACUGUGGCUAAUACCGCGUACCAUAGGAUGAGCCCAUGUGGGAUGAGGUAGUUGGUGGGGUAAAGGGUCACCAAGCCAACGAGCUCUAGCUGGUCUGAGAGGAUGACCAGCCACACUGGGACUGAGACACGGCCCAGACGCCUACGGGAGGCAGCAGUGGGGAAUAUUGCGCAAUGGGGGCAACCUGAUGAAGCCAUGCCGCGUGAAUGAAGAAGGCCGUCGGGUUGUAAAGUUCUUUCGGUAGCGAGGCGUUAACUACAGAAGAAGCACCGGCUAACUCCGUGCCAGCAGCCGCGGUAAUUC
rnacentral:rRNA from 1 species